AGCGAACGCUGGCGGCAGGCCUAACACAUGCAAGUCGAACGAACUCUUCGGAGUUAGUGGCGGACGGGUGUGUAACACGUGGGAACGUGCCUUUAGGCUCGGAAUAACUCAGGGACACUUGUGCUAAUACCGAAUGUGCCCUUCGGGGGAAAGAUUUAUCGCCGUUAGAGCGGCCCGCGUCUGAUUAGCUAGUUGGUGAGGUAAAGGCUCACCAAGGCGACGAUCAGUAGCUGGUCUGAGAGGAUGAUCAGCCACAUUGGGACUGAGACACGGCCCAAACUCCUACGGGAGGCAGCAGUGGGGAAUCUUGCGCAAUGGGCGAAAGCCUGACGCAGCCAUGCCGCGUGAAUGAUGAAGGUCUUAGGAUUGUAAAAUUCUUUCACCGGGGACGAUAAUGACGGUACCCGGAGAAGAAGCCCCGGCUAACUUCGUG
rnacentral:rRNA from 1 species